UUUUUGUUUUUCAGCUGAUUUUUGCUUAAAAUUCGUCUUUUUCUUUGAUUUUUUUACAUGAAAAUUACUGAAAUGU
ensembl:ncRNA Y69A2AR.39 ncRNA